rnacentral:rRNA from 1 species
GAUGAACGCUGGCGGCAUGCCUAACACAUGCAAGUCGAACGGCCGGACGGUAAGCUUUUUUCUCUGCUGUUGGCGGCUGGCGGGCGGGUAACGCGUGCAUCACCUUCUUCUUUUUCUUGGUUAAUUUCGUAAAACCAGUUCUACUAACACCGCAUAUUUUCAACCGCUUGAUUCAAAGGUUCAUCAGGCCUUUCGCGACUGUAUUAGCCGGUUUCGGGUUGCAUUGGCUAGUUGGUAAGGUAACAGCCUACCAAGGCGACGAUGCGUAGCCGACCUGAGAGGGUGAUCGGCCACACUGGAACUGAGACACGGUCCAGACUCCUACGGGAGGCAGCAGUAGGGAAUAUUGCGCAAUGGGCGAAAGCCUGACGGAGCAACGCCGCGUGGGUGAAGAAGGUCUUCGGGUCGUAAAGCUCCGUUAUUGGGAAAGAACAGAUGUAGGAGUAAACGUGGACAUUUUGACGGUACCUAAUGAAAAAGCAACGGCUAACUACGUG